rnacentral:rRNA from 1 species
UACGUAGGGUGCAAGCGUUGUCCGGAAUUAUUGGGCGUAAAGAGCUCGUAGGCGGUUCGUCGCGUCGGCUGUGAAAUCCCAGGGCUUAACCCUGGGCCUGCAGUGGGUACGGGCAGACUAGAGUGUGGUAGGGGAGACUGGAAUUCCUGGUGUAGCGGUGAAAUGCGCAGAUAUCAGGAGGAACACCGGUGGCGAAGGCGGGUCUCUGGGCCGUAACUGACGCUGAGGAGCGAAAGCAUGGGGAGCGAACAGG